rnacentral:lncRNA from 1 species
ACGACCCGGCGAACGACGUGCGAUGGCGCGUCUCCUACGCCGCCGACCUCGUGAUGGGCAAGCUCACCUUCUCCGACGAGGCUCUCCUUCUCCGACGAGAGGCUCUUCGUCCGGUGCUGGUGGACGUACGCGGCGUCACGAUCGAUGCGCGCUUCCUACGGGAUGGUGAGUCCGUAGACAUCGGAGACAUCGUAUCUUUUUCUUGCCAUUUUGCGAGGGUCCGAGAUCGAUUGCCGCCGUCGAGGCCAGUGCCGUGCCGACGCGGGCAUCGAUCAACAAGGAUGCGGCACACGGGCGGUACACGGCACGGCGUGCAAGCGCGCCGACGCGGGCUGAUGCGGGCCCGAGCUCCCCCACCUACCCAUCCAUGGCGGAUGUGCGACGCGUGGGGGUGCAUCCGAUCCUCCAUUCCGAGCCAGGGGUUCGCGGUGAGAGUAUAAAACCUAAACCGAGCCCAGUCCUUGACCUAGAUACUGCCUUCUCCCACUUCUGGACGACGGAGAGAAACCCUAGAUCGACUCCCCCGAUCUCCUACGGGUGGUGGAAGGGCAAGGUGGGAGGAGAUAUGCGCUCGUUCGCGGCGGUAGCGGCCUCCCCUCCACUCCCCACCAUGGAUGCGGGUCGCGGCUUCGAUGGGGGGCGGCGUGGAGGCGCGGGUGCAGGCCGUGGAGUGGGGCGGAGCUCGGGCCGAGGAAAUGGCCGGGAAGGAGAGCGGAGCAAGUACUCCUGGAAACGCGACAACGGCGGCGACCGCACCAUCUCGUCGUCGUCUAACACGGCUUCGGGCUCGAGCGACACCUCGAGGUGGGAUGCGGCGGCGACGACGGCUCCGACGCUUCGCGACCCCAAGGAAGGAGGCGUUUGGGUGGAGAAACACCAGAGAUCCUCGAGCUCUGGGGGCAAUGGAGGAGGACAAGAUCCGUCCCCACCACCUCGUCAUCCUCAGGGGAAAAAUCCUCGCCAGGUGCCUUCUUCCAGUAACCUUGAACCCUGCCCUAUUUGCAAAUCUCAUGAACAUCUUCCUGUUCGAUGUUGGCAAGCUUUCUGUGAACGUUGCAAUACCUUGGGCCACCUUGCUUCUGUUUGCACAACCUUUCUUCCCUGGGAGUGUAUUGCCCCCAUGUGUGCUUUCCAAUCCAAAGGGCAGGGGUUCUACUAUAUCCAUGAUUCCUGUACUGCCAAUCAGCUUAGAGAGAGAUCUAAUAGUGUGGUAGUCACAAUUGUUGAGGGAGAAACUUCUACUCGCCAAAUGGAGAUCGAUCUUACUAACUAUCUAGCUACUGGAUGGCGCUGCUCUGCCCAUGCCAUUGGUCCUAGGGUCUUUGUGGUUCGCUUCCCUAAUCCUCGCUCGGUUGCUCAAAUCUGCUAUCUGGGACGGGUAACUCUCAAGACCACUGGGGUGGUGAUUCAUGCCUCCCCUUGGUCAUCCGCUGUGGGAUCAAAAGGGGUUAUGGAAGUAGCGUGGGUUAAAAUCAGUAAUGUUCCUUUGGACAAGAGGAGUGAGAGGAAUCUUGCCUAUCUGGCAUCUCUUGUUGGGGUACCACUUGAAAUUGAUGCGGCUACUCUUCAUCGUCCGGCCUCUACUAGAGUUAAAUUGGGAUGCCGUAAUGUGGACGCGAUUCCUGUGAUUGCUGAAGUUGUCCUGGGUGGGCACUUCUAUGGCUUCCUUUAUGAAGUGGAUCAAGUUGUUGUGAGAGAUCCAGAAAGAAAAAAAUGUUGUGCAGGUGUCCCCUAAGUAUGGAAAAGAAAAUCCUACAGACCGAGGGGCGAAUAUGACUCCUGGAGCUCAGAUGGGCAGCUCCUCUGCCGGGCUUGGGGGGAAAUCUUCCUCCAUUCCCCGAGGGAGGUGUCUGACCCCAUUCAGGAGUCACAAGAGAGCCUGGAAUCUGAUGGCUCGCUGCAUAACUCGCUCCUGAUUGAGACCAUGGUGUUCGAUCAAAUGGCGUGUGAUGACAAAGUACGUAAAAAAGAUCUGAAUCCUGAUGAGUUUUCCCUGUCUAAUGAAAUAAAAAGAAAACCUACUCUGAUGUGGUGAGAACAUCCCAGUAGGUGCUGGAGGCGAGUAACUCACAAGAUGCUGGGAUCAAGGCGACCACUGAUUACAUUGUGGAGUCCCCGAAGUUAACUAUUGGCGUUGAGGUGAUUCCUACUCCUCCUCUUGUCACUGAGGAAAACCUGCGUUUAAGCUCGCCCUAUGUGCAGAGCAAGAUGAAGCGAGUGGACGACAAGGCGAUUGCGGUGGCCAAAAGAAGAAAUAUGGAAGGUACAACAAAAAAAACUCCAAUUAUUUUGAUGCAUUAUCUGAUAGUACUCUUAUCCUGGAAGCUGUCAAAAUGGGGGUUGACAUACCUGACAAUGAUUUUACUUGCAUUGACAUUAUUAGAGAACUUGAGAAAACUCGUAAUGCUGAGCCUGUCAAUGAGAAAGUAGGUCAACCUUAUGAAGGAGGGGCUCUCAUCCUAACCAAUGGAAAAGGGGACCAAAUCCCAUUAGAUAUGAGGUGGGAGGAAGAUAAUAUGAGUGAGGAGGAACCAUUCACUGUGGUGUGCUCCAGAAAAAAAGACAGAAAAGCUAAUGUUGUUAUCUCUAGACCUGUGACUAGGAGUCAAAAGGAUAAAACUUCCAUGGAUAGAAAAAAGGGGUAUGGUAAACCUACUCUGCUUCCUAGUAGAAAUACUAGACGAGGGGGAGGGAACUGUUGGAAAUAUGCCCUAGAGGCAAUAAUAAAUUGAUUAUUAUUAUAUUUCCUUGUUCAUGAUAAUCGUCUAUUAUCCAUGCUAGAAUUGUAUUGAUAGGAAACUCAGAUACAUGUGUGGAUACAUAGACAACACCAUGUCCCUAGUAAGCCUCUAGUUGACUAGCUCGUUGAUCAAUAGAUGGUUACGGUUUCCUGACCAUGGACAUUGGAUGUCGUUCAUGACGGGAUCACAUCAUUAGGAGAAUGAUGUGAUGGACAAGACCCAAUCCUAGGCGUAGCACAAGAUCGUGUAGUUAGCGUGCUAAAGCUUUUCUAAUGUCAAGUAUCAUUUCCUCAGACCAUGAGAUUGUGCAACUCCCGGAUACCGUAGGAAUACUUUGGGCAUGCCAAACAUCACAACGUAACCAGGUGGCUAUAAAGGUGCACUACGGGUAUCUCCGAAAGUGUUUGUUGGGUUGGCACGAAUCGAGACUGGGAUUUGUCACUCCGUGUAAACGGAGAGGUAUCUCUAGGCCCACUCGGUAGGACAUCAUCAUAAUGUGCACAAUGUGACCAAGGAGUUGAUCACGGGAUGAUGUGUUACGGAACGAGUAAAAGAGACUUGCCGGUAACGAGAUUGAACAAGGCAUCGGGAUACCGACGAUCGAAUCUCGGGCAAGUACAGUACCGCUAGACAAAGGGAAUUGUAUACGGGAUUGAUUAAGUCCUUGACAUCGUGGUUCAUUCGAUGAGAUCAUCGUGGAGCAUGUGGGAGCCAACAUGGGUAUCCAGAUCCCGUUGUUGGUUAUUGACCGGAGAACGUAUCGGUCAUGUCUGCAUGGUUCCCGAACCCGUAGGGUCUACAUACUUAAGGUUCGAUGAUGCUAGGGUUAUAGGGAAUAGAUAUACGUGGUUACCGAAUGUUGUUCGGAGUCCCAGAUGAGAUCCCGGACGUCACGAGGAGUUCCGGAAUGGUCCGGAGGUAAAGAUUUAUAUAUGGGAAGUCCUGUUUUGGUCACCGGAAAAGUUUCGGGUUUUAUCGGUAACGUACCGGGACCACCGGGAGGGUCCCGGGGGUCCACCAAGUGGGGCCACAAGCCACGGAGGGCUGCAUGGGCCAAGUGUGGGAGGGGAUCAGCCCCAGGUGGGCUGGUGCUCCCCUCCCCCACCAAGGCCCAAGGCGCAAGGAAGAGGGGAAGGGGGCAAACCCUAGGGAAGAUGGGCCCUAAGGCCCACCCCGGUGCGCCUCCCCCUCUCCCCUCCCCUUGGCCGCCCCUAGAUGGGAUCUAGGGGGCUGCCGCCACCCCUAGGGAGGGAACCCUAGGUGGGGGCGCAGCCCCUCCCCUCCCCCUAUAUAUAGUUGAGGUUUGGGCUGCCCAAUACACAGGAGUUUCUCUGUUUCUUGGCGCAGCCCUAUCCCUCUCUUUGUCCUCAUAUCUCGCGGUGCUUGGCGAAGCCCUGCUGGAUCACCACGCUCCUCCACCACCACCACGCCAUUGUGCUGCUACUGGAUGGAUUCUUCCUCAACCUCUCCCUCUCUCCUUGCUGGAUCAAGGCAUGGGAGACGUCACCGGGCUGUACGUGUGUUGAACGCGGAGGUGCCGUCCGUUCGGCACUAGGAUCUCCGGUGAUUUGGAUCACGAUGAGUACGACUCCUUCAACCCCGUUCUCUUGAACGCUUCCGCUUAGUGAUCUACAAGGGUAUGUAGAUGCACUCUCCUUCCCCUCGUUGCUGGUUUCUCCAUAGAUAGAUCUCGGUGACACGUAGGAAAAUUCUGAAUUUCUGCUACGUUCCCCAACAGGAACACCAUCAUCAAAUGAACGGGGUCUUUUGGAAUUGUCGAGCAGCAGGUAAAAAAGGAAUGACUACCUGCUUCUCCGACAUUAUCAAAGAUCAUUCCCUUGAUUUCAUAGGAUUGCAGGAAACCAGAAAGAAAGAGAUUCCUCCUAAGUUCUUACGCAAGAUUGACCCCUAUGAUAGAUUUGCUUGGAACUGGGUGCCUUCUAUUGGCAAAUCCGGGGGCAUCCUUUGUGGCAUCAAAAGAGAAACUCUGGAAGUUGUUUCCUAGACAGUGGGCAAAUUUUGCUUGCAAGCAACCCUUUUUGAUAUAAACCUUAAAUGUGUGUGGGCCCUGAGGGAGUCCUGGAUUAGGGGGUCUCCGGAUAGCCGGACUAUCUUCAUUGGCCGGACUGUUAGACUAUGAAGAUACAAGAUUGAAGACUUCGUCUCGUGUCCGGAUGGGACUCUCUACUUGGCGUGGAAGGCAAGCUAGGCAAUACGGAUAUGGAUAUCUCCUCCUUUGUAACCAACCUUGUGUAACCCUAACCCUCUCCGGUGUCUAUAUAAACCGAAGGGUUUUAGUCCGUAGGACAACAAUCACAACAUACAAUCAUACCAUAGGCUAUUUUCUAGGGUUUAGCCUCUCUGAUCUCGUGGUAGAUCUACUCUUGUACUACCCAUAUCAUCAAUAUCAAUCAAGCAGGACGUUGGGUUUUACCUCCAUCAAGAGGGCCCGAACCUGGGUAAAACAUCGUGUCCCCUGCCUCCUGUUACCAUCCGGCCUAGACGCACAGUUCGGGACCCCCUACCCAAGAUCCGCCGGUUUUGACACCGACAUUGGUGCUUUCAUUGAGAAUUCCUCUGUGUCGUCGCUGUUAGGCUUGAUGGCUCCUACUAUCAUCGAUAGCGAUGCGGUCCAGGGUGAGACUUUUCUCCCCGGACAGAUCUUUGUAUUCGGCGGCUUUGCACUGCGGGCUAAUUCGCUUGGCCAUCUGGAGCAGAUUGAAAGCUACGCCCCUGGCCGUCAGGUCAAAUUUGGAAGUUUGAACUGCACGGCCGACACCCGCGGAGACUCGAUCUUCGAUGGAUUCGAGCCAUAGCCGGGCGCACCGCACUGUCGCGAUGGGUAUGACCUAGCUCUGCCGCCGAACAGUACCCUAGGGGCCGCGCCCGCAUCAGCUCCGACCCUUAGCUCGGAGCCAACUGCGCCAAUCGAGGACGGGUGGUUAGACACCGCCUCAGGGGCUGCAGUCUCAACGGCGAUCGUGCCAAACACCAGCAUAAUCCUCUGCGCAGCCCGUGACUCCAAGGUGCCGGACUCUUUUUCUGACUCCAAACCGCCUGCGCCCCUGCCAAUCGAAUCCGAUUGGGCGCCGAUCAUGGAAUUCACCGACGCGGAUAUCUUUCAGCACUCGCCCUUCGGCGACAUUCUGAAUUCACUAAGGUCUCUCUCUCUUUGUCAGGAGAGCCCUGGCCGGAUUAUGGCCAACAGGACUGGGAUGCGGACGACGAAGAAAUUCGACGCCCACCCACCACCCACUUAAUAGCCACUGUCGAUGACUCAACCGACAUGCUCAACUUUGACUCCGAAGACAUCGACGGUAUGGACGACGAUGCGGGAGGCGAAGAGGAACCACCGCCCACAGGGCGCUGGACGUCCACCUCAUCAUAUGACGUAUACAUGGUGGACACACCAAAAGAAGACGACGAUGAGGAACAGAAGGACGCACCGAAGGCUUGUUCCCUCGAGAAGCAGUCAAAGCGGCGGCGCAAACGCCGCUGCAAAUCCCGCCUCGGCAGAAAUAACGACCAUACAGACCCAGCGUUGGAGCAGGGCGAACCACUGCCGGACCACGGCAAUACGGAGAAUCAAACCAAACAAACCAAUUCUGUCAAAGAUAAUAGUCCGGAUGACAUAACGCCGGACAGGCACCCGGAGCAGCAGAAUGCCCGUCAAAGGCUUGUUGCCACCGCGAGGAGUCUGAAAAAGCAGAAGCAAAGGCUCAAGGCUAUGUAGGACACACUCCAAAUCAGAUGGAGUAAAGUACUCAACACAGCAGCGAAGUACGGCAACAAUCGCCUCACCAAGAGCUACCCAAAGCGGAAGUUGCUACCUGAAUUAGAUGAGAAGGCCUCAGACCCCCCACAACCAAAAAUCAAAACAGCCACCUGGCCGGAUAGACGACCUCACGGCCAACAUAGAGCGGCAAACAACGCCACUCACAAGCCAAUACACGAUCCACGCGAGGGCUCGCACCAAAAGGACGGCGCAACCAGAUCCAUCUAUGGACCACGCAAGCGCGCCCCAGCAUACGAUGUAACACAACAAACAUCUGAACAACGUGGUACACCCAGAUACAGGGGUGCCGCACACCCCCUAUGUUUCACCGAUGAGGUGUUGGACCAUGAAUUUCCAAAGGGAUUCAAACCCGUAAACAUGGAGGCAUACGACGGAACAACAGACCCUGGGGUCUGGAUUGAGGACUAUAUCCUCCACAUCCAUAUGGCUCGAGGAGAUGAUCUCCACGCCAUCAAGUACUUACCCCUCAAGCUCAAAGGACCAGCUCGUCACUAGCUUAAAAGCCUCCCCGAAAACUCCGUUGGAAGCUGGGAAGAGCUCGAAGACGCUUUUCGGGCAAAUUUUCAAGGGACUUAUGUCCGACCUCCGGACGCGGAUGAUUUGAGUCAUAUAACUCAACAGCCCAGAGAGUCAGCCCGAAAGCUUUGGAACAGGUUUCUUACUAAAAAGAACCAAAUUGUCGACUGUCCGGACGCCGAAGCCUUGGCAGCUUUUAAGCAUAGCGUCCGUGACGAAUGGCUUGCCAGACACCUUGGCCAAGAAAAGCUGAGAACAAUGGCAGCAUUAACAAGCCUCAUGACCCGCUUUUGCGCGGGUGAGGACAGCUGGCUAGCCAGAUGCAGCACCAGCGACCCCAGUACAUCUAAAGUUAGAGAUGGAAACGGGAAAUCACGGCGCAACAAUAAGAACAAACGCCGGAAUAAAGAAGACAUCACGAAGAGCACGGCAGUAAAUGCCGUAUUCAAAAGCACUCGGCCAGGUCAGCAAAAGCCACCCUCUAAAGGCGCUAGAGACAAACUUUCCAUCCUAAACAACAUUCUGGACCAAAUAUGCCAGAUCCAUAGCACCCCUUGUAAACCAGCUAAUCAUACCCACAGAGAAUGCUGGGUCUUCAAGCAGUCCGGCAAGCUCAACGCCGUACACAAGGGGGGGAUGCACCAAGCGAAGACGAGGAUGAGCCUCUCAAGCAAGACACUGGGGAACAAAAGAAAUUUCCACCCGAAGUAAAAACAGUAAACAUGUUACACGUGAUCAAGGGGAGAAACAAAACGACACUCCCAGAAAAAUAUGCCCAAGGGCCUAUCACCGCGGAGCCCUGCCACUGGUCGUCUCAACCGAUCACUUUCGACCAUCGUGAUUACUCAGCAAGUAUCCGGCGUGCAGGAUGGGCUGCCCUGGUAUUAGACCCAAUAAUCUACAGAUACUACUUCACACGAGUCCUGAUGGACGGUGGCAGCAGUAUCAACCUGAUAUACCAGGAUACAAUCCGCGAAAUGGGGAUAGACCCAACGAAAAUUUGCCAGAGCAAUACUACCUUUAUAGGGGUAACGCCAGGCCCAGGGGCUCAUUGCACGGGCUCCCUGCUACUAAAGGUUCUAUUCGGCUUCCCCGAUAACUUCCGUAGCGAACAUUUAACCUUCCACAUCGCUCCGUUCCAAAGCGGCUAUCAAGCACUACUUGGACACGAAGCUUUUGCUCGCUUUAAUGCAAUACCACAUUACGCUUCCCUGACGCUCAAGAUGCCCGGUCCACGUGGCAUCAUUACAGUGAACAGAAGUAUUAAGCGAUCUUUGCGCGCCGAAGAGAGUGCGGCUGCCUUGGCAGCCGCACACUGAAAACGGCCUGACCAACUAAAGCAUUUAACAGGUCGUCAAGACCUCGGACACGGUUAGACGAGUCCGGCGCAGCUAUAUGUAAUUCAUACCGGAUCAAUGGUCACACCCCUAUUACAAAUACAAGGGGCUCAACGCGCGCAGACAAGUGGCAAUUUUUACUCAUCUUGAAUUAUACAUAGUUUCUUUAAAAACUAUCUUUUUGCACGACAACUUUUUCACCUAAGUUCCUCUCUUUUACAGAUGAUCAUCGUGCUACACCCGUCCAGGAUACGGCACAACGGAGACAUAGGCGCAGACGUGCAGCAGGGACCCGCUCCAAGGAUUCUUUUUAAAUUAAGACCCUGCGUAAACCUUUUUUACUGUCUCUUGUUGAUACACAUCCACCGAAUUCUCAGCACAGCUGAGAAGGAUGCUGACGUCUUGGCAUGUGGCCACGUCAGAAUAAUGCACGUACCUGGACACAAGGGGCUUCUUACAAAGGGCACUAUUUAGGCCCGGUUUAUACCGUAAAGACCGAAUACCUUAGGGAGUGUUCGGAGUCGCGAGUUUGGCCUUAUAUGCAUCAGCUCCUAAUCAUUGUCUUUGGUCAAAUGUUGGGUUUGCCCGGCUCCUAUGUUUUGGUGCCUUAUGUUCCGCUUUAUCGGCUAAGGCAACACCAGGAGAACUACUGCGAUUGUGCCCUGGUUCAUCCGGACGAGCACCUCAGCAGAGAAAGCCGAAAACUGACUUUCAUGAUAUAGCGUGAGACUGGUCAACCACUCGAUGACCUAUCGAAAUGUUAGAAUUCCUCCGCCUUAACGAAGUGCCAUUUUCCGGCCAGGCACGUACGCACCCCGAGAUCAGGAGAGUGCGGAGCCACCAGGGGCUAUCUAGUAGCUCCACUGUCAAACUCCUAUGGCUAAGUGAAAGUGUUAAAGCAUUAUAGUCCGAUUGCCUCGGUCGCUACGCUAUCACCUCCUUAAUAGGACCAAGACAUUGGGUUAAGUGUGAACACGCGUUUUUUGCGACCACCUCUGCAUUAUAUGCGUGGGGGUUGAAGCCGACAACUGCAAUCUUUUAGGUUAUAUACAUAUAUACACAAACGGCCGCACAGGAGGCAUCACAUUACUUUCCGGCAAAAGUAUAAAUACAGCCUUACUAUAUUUCAUAAAAACAUUGUGUUUACAAUUGGAAUACAUGUCAUUCAAACAUAAUAUUCUUCGAGCACUGGGACUCUAUCAAACGAGCACCCGCAAGAACCUCUUCAAAAUAGUGCUCGGCAGCUACUCGGCCUAUGGCCGAACCCUGCGUCGCAACAAUGGUAGCAUCCAUCGCCGCCCAGUAUGCCUUGACACGGGCAAAGGCCAUCCGCGAGCCUUCUAUGCACGCCGACCUCUUCAUCGCAUUGAUGCGCGGCACCGCACCAAGGAACUGCUACACUAAGCUGAAAUAGCUGUUCGGCUUUGGCUUCUCCGGCCACAAAUGAUCUACAACACACCUCAUGGCGAGUUCGGACAACCUAUUAAGUUUGGCCCAUUCGGCUAGCUGAUCAGUCAAGGGAAGCGGACGCUCUGGAACGUUGAAUUGCGACCAGAAUAGCUUGUCCACUCACGAUCUGAUUGAUCCUGGAAGUAUUCGACCGCAUCGACAGCGCUCGCCGCCAAGUCCAUAUAUGCGUCUGCCGAACUCCACAGCCGAUCCAGAGGGGCAUACCGUGGAUCUCCGAACUUCCUCCGUAGCAGAAAGGGCUUCCCAGCCACAAUAUCCCCGGCUUCGCGCAGCUCCUCCUUCUUCGCCCUCAUAGUAGAGCGACUGUCUUUGGUCACCAUAGUGGCCUUCUCAAGGUCCGCUGCCUUCACUCGGUUUUCUUCUUCAAGGAACUGGCAACGGUCGGCAGUGCCUUUUAAUUCUACGGCCAUCUUGGCCAUCUUUUCUUUGCUUUUGCAAUGGGCGGCCUUCUCGGCUCUUAACUCUUCGGCCGCAUUCAAAGCAGCCGCAUUACUAACCCUCGCUUGUUCCUUAGCUCAGGCGAGUUCCGCCGAAGGGUCUCCACGGUGGUAGCUCCGUCUGCAGUCACAACAUAUUAAAGAUACUGGCAUCAUGCUGCUCUUAUUGUGUGACAUUCACCGGAAAACAUUACUUACCCUGUGAUUCAUCAAGCCGCUUGUUAACAAGCUCGAUGUCGGCGUCUGCCGCAUCCAGUUGCCGUUUUAAUUCGGCAAACUCACUAGUCCGGCUAGCCACUGGAGCUUCCACCGCCUGCACAUAAAGGCAGUCUGGUUAUUGCCUGGGACUAUGAUCCUCUGUUCGCCGCUGUUCUCGACGACAACCAGAGUCUCAGGGGCUACUAUCUACGCAGGGCACACCUAACAUGUGCGGUACUAUCACAUAUUAUUUCACGUACCUCAAAGCCUGUCAGUAGACUCAUAAAGGCUUCGUGUAAUCCGCUUUCGGCGGACGAAAUUCUUUCCAUCACCGUACCCAUCAGCGUACGGUGUUCUUCUGAGAUGGCCGCUCGCCCCAACAGCUCCCUCAGAACGUCCGACCGCAUACCAGACGGUGCCGGACUCUUUUGUUUGCUCUCUUCGGGAGUCAGACGCUGGGGACUUCGAGGAUCUAUGGGAUUAUCUUCUGGCCUCACCGGAUCCGGAGAGGCCCUCCGCGGCGACACUUUGGGGUCACCCGCUUCUUGAGCGGAGGAGUCCGGGGGAGGCGUUUCACUCUCCAUCAUCUCCGGAAGAACAUCCCCCCAAGACGAGCUCAGCUGAGAAGGGCUAAGACCCGAACUACAAGAUAUAUGCGGCGGUUAUUUUCUCAGAAGAAAGAUAGUAUACCCUCACUAUUAAAGUAUUUUUUGGAUCACUUACGACUCGUUGGAGGGCUGAUCCCCCCAUGGACUUUGUGCGGCAAGAGCACCCCCCGAGGCAGGACCCUCUGUUGGAGACUUCUUCUCACGUUUGGAGGCCUCGGCUUCCGGAUCCUCGGAAGCAGUCCUCUUCCUCCCCCGAUUAUCCUCCUUUAAGGAGGCGUUCAUUCCCUCGGUUGAAACUGGCAGCGAUGGGGGCCCGCUUCCGCCCAUAUUAUUCCCCCCUAUAUCUUCCUUCGGGGGCUCCGGGCAAGGUGCGAGCUCGAGCAUCUUUUCCAAUACCGGAUUUUCUAAACCCUCAGGGAGGGGGGCCGAACACCGAAUCAUCUUCGCCUUUGUUAGCCAGUCCUGGUCAAAGAGCAAUCUCUCAGAAAUAACUUCAUGAUGAAUGAAAGGCGGUGUGUUCGGCUAGAGGAUUUCUUACUUGUUCGGCGGUACGGUUACUGCUCAGGCCCACGUCCUCAGUAGCAUCCGGACACUCUAUUUGAGGUCCGAAGAACAUCUCCUCGUGCGUUAGGCCAAGGAAACUUUGAAUGGCACGCGGUCCUUCUAGGUUGAACUCCCACAAGCGAAGGGGCCGGUGUUUGCAAGGCUGGACUUGACGAACCAGCAUAACUUGUAUUACCACUACCAAAUUAAAAUCUCCCUCGAAGAGAUCUCGAAUGCGGCUUUGCAGUAUAGGCACGUCCUUGGCUGGACCCCAGCUCAGACCUCUGCUAAUCCAUCACAUUAGUCGUGGUGGGGGGCCCGAGUAGAAAGCGGGGGAAGCCGCCCACUUGGCACUUCUGGGAGCUAUGACGUAAAACCACUCCCGUUGCCAUAAUUCGGACACAUCUGGAAAGGAACCUUUCGGCCAUGGAGCUCCUGCCAUCUUGCCUAUUGAUGCACCUCCGCACGCUGCAUGUUGCCCCUCGAUCAUCUUCGGCUUCACUUCAAAGGUCUUGAGCCACAGGCCGAAGUGAGGGGUAAUGCGGAGGAAGGCCUCACACACGACAAUAAAUGUCGAGAUGUGGAGAAAGGAGUCCGGAGCUAGAUCGUGGAAAUCUAGCCUGUAAUAGAACAUCAAACCCCUGACGAAGGGAUCCAGAGUGAGGCCUAGGCCUCGGAGGAAGUGGGAGACGAACACGACGUUCUCGUUAGGUUCGGGUGUAGGGACGACCUGCCCUCGAGCAGGAAGCUGAGGCGAAACCUCGGCGGUCAGGUAUCUGGCCUCCCUCAACUUCUUGAUGUCCUCUUCUGUCACAGAGGAGGGCAUCCAUCGGCCUUGAAGGCUGGAUCCGGACAUGAUUGAAGAUCCGGAGCACCUAACCUGGGCUUUGGGUGUUGGAACUCAAGGCGGGGGAAGGGUUCGAUUGAGCACGGGAGGAAGAAAGCGAAAACCUUGUCCCUUUAUAAAGAGGGUGAAUAUCAAGCGUCCUCUCCGUAGCCGUUUAGGACUUGCCUAUAAUCUAGGAGUCCUAGACAUGGUUGGGUUACCCACAACCGCAUUAAUGAGAAUCCCGUAAUUGGGGGAACACGAUCUCUACUUUGACAGGACGUGUCAAGAAACCGCCUCGCGUUAUGUGUGGAGCUGGUUGAAGAAAAACGGUUCGAAUAAUCACCGGGCCAUGACGUAAUGUCAUGCUGCCAAAACAAGCCAGCAAAUUAGAUCUGCGAAAAUAUUAUUCUCUCUACGGUGGUACUUGGAACUUAUUUUGCAGGGUCGUACACUAUCCUCAUUUUCAAAUUCUUCUGUGAUGUAUUCAGAGAAGGAACCCGCCUUGCAAUGCCGAAGACAAUACUGCGCGCCGGACUCAUCGUCAUUGAAGCCUAGUUCAGGGGCUACUGAGGGAGUCCUGGAUUAGGGGGUCUCCGGAUAGCCGGACUGUCUCCAUUGGUCGGACUGUUAGACUAUGAAGAUACAAGAUGAAGACUUCGUCUCGUGUCCGAAUGGGACUCUACUUGGCGUGGAAGGCAAGCUAGGCAAUACAGAUAUGGAUAUCUCCUCCUUUGUAACCGACCUUGUGUAACCCUAACCCUCUCCGGUGUCUAUAUAAACCGAAGGGUUUUAGUCCGUAGGACAAUAAUCACAACAUACAAUCAUACAUAGGCUAGCUUCUAGGGUUUAGCCUCUCUGAUCUCGUGGUAGAUCUACUCUUGUACUACCCAUAUCAUCAAUAUCAAUCAAGUAGGACGUAGGGUUUUACCUCCAUCAAGAGGGCCUGAACCUGGGUAAAACAUUGUGUCCCCUGCCUCCUGUUACCAUCCGGCCUAGACGCACAGUUCGGGCCCCCCUACCCGAGAUCCGCCGGUUUUGACACCGACAGGCCCUUAUAGUUAUCUACGGUGCGGCACAGGAUGAUAAGAAAGAGGAAUUCCUUUGUGAACUUGCAUCCAUGUGUUCCCAUCUCCAGGUCCCUUACAUUGUGGGAGGGGAUUUCAACAUUCUUCAUGAAAGUUGUGAGAAAAAUAAGAAUUUAAAUCGGUCCCCUUACAUGGAUAAAUUCAAUUCCACCAUUCAAUCUCUGAACCUUCGUGAGAUACAUAUGGGAGGGGGCAAAUACACCUGGUAACCACCAAAGACACCCUACUUUAGAAAAGCUCGAUAGAGUUCUUAUGAGUUUUGAAUGGGAGGACCUCUUUCCCCUGGUCAUUGUCCGGAAGUUGGUACGGGACGUGUCAGACCAUAAUCCUCUCCUACUGUCAUCUAACUCGUCUGUAGCAAGAUCCACACGACAACGUGAGUUUAGAUUUGAACUCAGUUGGCUUAAAAAUGAAGAGUUCUAUCCUAUAGCUAAGAAGAUAUGGGAGCAACCAGUUGCCUCUGAUGACCCCAUUGACAUCCUUAAUAUCAAGGUCAAAAGGCUGAAAAAUUAUUUCAAAGGGUGGGGCUCCCAUUUGUUUGGUCACGCGAAGAAAAGAAAAAAAGAUAUUCAAAAGGAGUUGGAAGAGAUUGAGACCUUAGAAGAAGAGAGCCCCCUUGACCCAGAAACCUAUGAAAAUAGAACAAACCUGCGGAUGGAACUCGAUGACAUAUUGGCUAAUGAGGAGCUCUUCUGGCUCCAACAAUCCAAUGAGAGGUGGUUGCUGAAGGGGGGGGGCCAAAAUACAGCCUUUUUUCAUCGUGCGGCCAAUGGUAGAAAACGAAAAAAAAAUACAAUUCACUCCUUCACGGAUGGCGAGACGGCGAUUGAGGGCACAGAUAACCUGUUGGCUCAUGCCACGACUUAUUAUAAGAAUCUUUUCGGCCCGGCCAGGGGAAACAUUUUUCAUUCAUUUGCGGAUACCUGGUCGGAAGAAGAAAAACUAACGGUGGAGGAUAAUAUAUACUCCUGACUAGUGAAUUCACGGAGGAGGUUAGAAAGGCUUUGUUCGGCAUGGAUAGCAAUAGGGCCCCUGGCCCAGAUAGCAUCCCAGCUGAAUUCUACAAGCACUGCUGGGACUUUGUUAAAACAGAUAUUAUGUGUUUGUUUCACGCUUUUCACAACAACACCCUGGAUGUGGAGCGUCUGAAUUAUGGGGUGAUCACCCUGAUCCCUAAGACCAAUGGUGCUAAGAAAAUACAACAGUACCGUCCCAUCUGCUUACUUAGAUGUCCAUACAAGCUGAUCACAAAAGUGAUGGGUAAUAGAGCAACCAUCUUUGCUGAUAAGCUUAUUAGCAAACACCAAAAUGCUUUCAUUAAACAUAGAAAUAUCAUGGAUGGGAUCCUCACUCUCCGUGAGAUCUUACACCACACACACGAUAAAAAGAAAGUUGGGGUGGUCAUGAAGUUGGACUUUUAAAAAGCAUACGACAAAAUUAAUUGGGACUAUCUCCUUGAAUGUCAAGUAAUAGAGGCUUUGGUGAAACCUGGUGUGGAUGGGUGAAGAAGAUACUAAGUAAUGGCACAGUCAACAUUAAGUUGAAUAACGUGACUGGGCCUUAUUUCCAAAGCCACAAAGGGGUGCGCCAGGGGGACCCUCACUCCCCUUUUUUUAACAUUGUGAUGGAAACCUUGUCUAAGAUGAUUCAAAAUGCUCAAAAGGAAAAGAUGAUAACUGGGUUGGCCCCAGACCUCAUUGAAAAUGGCGUUGCUGUUCUGCAAUACGCCGAUGAUACGGUUAUUUGUUUUGAACAUGAAGAAGAAGCUGUUGUCAACCUGAAACUUCUCUUAUACAUCUUUGAACUUAUGUUUGGCUUAAAGAUUAACUUCCUUAAGAGUGAAAUCAUGUGCGUGGGUGGAGACAACAACAUCAUGGCAACUUAUGCGGACAUUUUUAGCUGUCAAACCGGCCACUUCCCAAUGAAAUACUUGGGGGUCCCUGUAGGCUAUUCAACUUUGCGCAACCUGGAUUGGAACUUUGUUGAUGAUAAAUUCCUUAAAUGCUAUGAAACUUGGAUUGGAAAUGUUGCUUCAUCGGGGGGGGGGGACUCAUUCUCCUGAACUCCUCUCUGUCCAGUAUUGUUUACUACUACAUGGCAAUGUUCCCACUCCCUAAGAUGGUGAUCUACAAACUGGACAAACAUCGCAAAAAGUUUUUCUGGCAAGAAACCAACGGCAGGAAACACUAUCACCUUGUCAAAUGGACCAGGAUUUGUAGAUCAAAGAAAAAAGGGGUUUGGGGGUGAAAGACCUCCAUAGACAUAAUAUCAGCUUAUUAGCUAAAUGGUGGUGGAAACUUGAGACACAACAAGGGCUAUGGCAGGAUGUUAUCCGGGCCAAGUACUUGAAGAUAGAUUCUGUUGCCUCGGUUCGAUGCAGAUUUGGUGACUCGCCGAGCUGGAAAGCCAUUAUGAAAGUUAAAGAACACUAUUUCGCUGGGAGGGGGGUGAAUCUGAAAGCUGGCAACCUGGCUAGGCUAUGGAUUGACAAUAUUGAGGGAAACCCCCCUUUGUGAAACAAGUUUCCAGAGCUGUAUGAUGUUUGUAACAACCAAGAGAUUACUGUGGCCAAAGUCAAGGGCGAGGGGACCCCAGAUCUCUUUAGAAGACGAUUACAUCCUCGGCUUGCAAAACAAUGGGAAGAAGUGAAAAAUAUGGUGAAUUCCUGGGUAAUUUAUGAUGAACCAGACCAGGUUGUGUGGAACCUUGGAAAAAACAAGCACUUUACAACCAAAUCUAUGUAUAAUCAUCUGGAAAGCCGCCUCGCUGGGUGUGAUUAUAGGUGGAUUUGGAAAGCUAAGCUACCUCUCAAGAUCCAAAUUUUCCUUUGGCAAUUGUUUCAAGAUGCGGCGUUGACACGAGAUGUCAUGAAAAGAUGCAAAUGGGAUGGUAACCCGAAGUGUUCCUUCUGUCAGAGCAGGGAAACUUCUCAACACCUCUUCUUCACCUGUCCAGUUGCAAGGGUGGUUUGGAGAACGGUUGGCUGUGUGUUUGGCACAGAUUUGUGCCCUGAUAACCUAUGGCAAUAUUUCUCUUGGUGCUAUACCUUUUUACCUGAUGGUGCUAGAUUCUAUACCGUCGGCUUGGCUGCGAUUUGCUGGGCCAUGUGGAUCUGUCGUAACAGGGCCACUUUCGAAUGCAAAAAAUUGAGAACUCCUUUUGAUGUGGUUUUCUCUGCAUGUGGUUACAUGAACUAUUGGGCAGGUAUGAUGGAGGGAGCUGAUCAUGAGGCGAUGGAGCGCGGCGCUAAGAUGCUCAAGACCAACGCAGCUGCCAUGAUGAGGAUUUGCGCGGCCCCAGCUGGAACAACAAUGGACUGAGGAUGCAGCCGUUGACUCUGCCUUCACCUGCUUUCCCCCCUGUUACUGUUAUUUUCCUAGCACUUGUUUCAUUUGGUACUUUCGCCCCUGCGUGGGUUUUGGCUGAUGCUCAAAUGUGAGCCGUUCCCCUUAAAUGUGGAGACUACCUCCGGAUUUCUUGCUUUUGCUCUGGUUAGGAUAGGUGGUUUUAGAUGGCACCGGGUUUUCGCCCCAUGGUGAGCUGCUCGAUGACGAGUGCUUGCAGUGGGUUUCCCAGUGGUGUCUUGAAUUCGCUUUCCCCUUUCCAGUUUCCUUAAGACCUGGACUCUGUACUUCCGUUAUGUCAUAGUAAUGGAAAGGGGUAAUGCCCGGUUCAAAGAAA